rnacentral:misc_RNA from 1 species
CGAAUUUUAUCUCCCGAGUUCCCAGUAAUUCGGCAAAUUCUUAUUAGUAAAUGGUCGUCCGUACACUCGCACGUGUGACAAACUGAACUGCAAUAAAUACAAAAUAUCAUCAAACAAACCAGGAAUCCAGGAAACCAGGAAACCAGGAUGCCACCACCCUCAGAAGCCAGAGCGAACGCCCGUGCUUCGAAAUCAUCGGCAUUUGGACGUGGUGACGCCGGUGCCAGUGCUUGCGCACGUCAUUGCGAUGGACGGUGUUACACUGAGACCAACACAUCAACAAGUACGUCGGGAUAUGCGAAUGCGACGGCUACAGCUAACGCAACUUGCGACCGUAAUACUGGAUACGUAUCAGCAGGUGCCAAUGCGAGUGUCCAUACAGGCGGCUGUUCAAAAUGGUGUUUUGUUCUACUUCUCGUCUGCUUCGUCUUGAUUGUUUUGUGGUGGUGACGUAAUAAAUAGAAUUAUCGAGUCUUCUACAAUUUUUAAUUUGACGGAACAUUUGCAAAUUAUGAGGUGUCUAUAGAAAAUACAUUGAAAAGUGCAUUCAAAUUGACA